ACCCUCUCAGGAUCGCACCCGGAGAGUUUCCAGUACUCUACCAGUCUCGUCUAUGGGAGACAGAGAGAAGCAGAGGCCUACCUAUUCCAUUCCUAGCUUGGGCAGUGGCUAGCAAGUGGAAGACAAUCUGCUACAAGG